rnacentral:misc_RNA from 1 species
CUUACUUUUGCUAGCACAUUAGCCAGAUAGUCCUUGGUUUUAUGUUUUCCACCCUUGCAUACGAGAAUCUAAGUUAAUUAAACACCAUUUUCUUGGCUUUUGUUGAUUUCUAAGCAACCAAACAGAAAGUGAUCUCUUUGGGUCACUGGUUGUCUAAUAAAUUGAGAAUCACAUGCUCUGUAUUAUGACUUACCCUAUUUGCCAAAUACUUUCCGCCUCUGUGGUGGGCAUGCAUUGCCAUUUCUUUGCCUUAUUUGAUAAUUUUUGCUUUCUGUGAUUUCUUGUGCUGUCUAUUGACUUUAUUCUAUAAAAG